UACGUAGGGGGCAAGCGUUAUCCGGAAUUACUGGGUGUAAAGGGAGCGUAGACGGUAAUGUAAGUCUGGAGUGAAAGGCGGGGGCCCAACCCCCGGACUGCUCUGGAAACUAUGUUACUAGAGUGCAGGAGAGGUAAGCGGAAUUCCUAGUGUAGCGGUGAAAUGCGCAGAUAUUAGGAGGAACACCAGUGGCGAAGGCGGCUUACUGGACUGUAACUGACGUUGAGGCUCGAAAGCGUGGGGAGCAAACAGG
rnacentral:rRNA from 1 species